CGCUGACAUUUUGACCAAUAAUUUUGCGACAGGUUAUAAACAAACCAGAACUGGCCUAAGUUUGACAGCAACGCGCGGGAGCUAAGAGACUAUCGCCGGCAUCGAAUCUUAAUCGGCGAUUGUUUGCUGAAAGCCAUCUCUUCCCGUAAAACUCUCCUUUGAAGAAGAGAAAAAAGCUAUUGAAAGCGGAUUGGUAGAGUAUAAGCUUGGCUUAAGGUUUUCUUUGCGUUUAAUCGCUUUGUAUUUCCUAUCAAUUGCGAUUCGCUUUGUAUUAUUUUUGUAACUGGAUCGUGUUGUUAGUCUUAUCUGGAGUGGGUAUUCUGCGGUAAGUCGCUUUUUUGAGUCUGUACACGGUCAAUACAACCAUCUUAAUUAUCAACAGUCUUAAGUUUGCAGCUGGACGGAUGUUGGUGGAGGCUUGGGGCUGGGGCUAUUUGCCGUGCUUAUUGGCCGUGUUGGUGUUAUGUAGCGUGACUCUGACCUGGGACGCUCCCCUUUUCGCCCCAUAUCGUGAACAUUAUGUGUCCCAGGCGCAUUAUCACGGAGUUGAUGUCUUCACAGAGGCCCUCCAUUCGCCUGUGGGGCCUGAGCAGUUCAUGGAGCAGUUUUACAUGUGCUACGGAAGAGAUGGACGGAAAACGUACUUUAAAAAACAGGACCAAAAUUAUUUCUCCAACCGAAGGUACUGGGUGAUCAGUUCUUCUGGAAAAUUCGUGGCUUCUAUGCGGACCUGUUGAUGUAGCGGACACAUGCUGAAUAAUAGGAGUCAAAUAACCUUAGAGAAAUCUCUUGAUAAAAGUAGGAACAAAAUAAUACCUAUCACAAAUAGUGGAAAAUAAUCGUUCGCAUCCAGGUCGCCUUGCGUUAGACACAUUCGUUGUCAUUGCAGGUUCAGUAGGUUAGCGUCAAACUCGUUUAAGGGGCUGAUGUACAUCACGAUGUUUUUCUGCACUUACCUGUGAGACGGAGGCACUGGGGUCUAUUAGAAACCGCAAAACUGAAGAAAAAAAAUCCUCUAAAACCGCUUAAAAAAUUCGAUCAAAACUGAAACCCACAUGUUAAACCGUACAGUUGUGAUAAGUGGAGUACAGAAGAGAAGCCUGAACCCAAAUAGGAAAAACAAAAACAUCGGAUGCCAAAUCCGAAAACCCGUUUGUAUUUGUGGCGAAAACCGAAAACCAAAAACCAAAUGCUGAAAAAUGGAAAACCCGCAAACUGCAAGGAACAUCAAAACAGAAAAACUAAAAGUUUUUUGGGACAAAAACCGAAAAACUGAUCUAAAAAAUAGCCAAAACCCCAAAACUGAAAAUCUCAAUGCCCCCUCGUGUGACGUGUAAUAAUAGCUUCAAAGAGGCCCAAAAACAAAACCUACAGUGCGUUUUCACUCAAAUAGUUUAUUAGAACAGUUUAUUUAGAACAACAAAAUGGCUGCUGUAAUGUCAAAGGAACAAACGUGUACAGCUUUAAGACAGACAUCAACACAGGAUUGUUCAUGAACUUGAAGAAAGCAGACACAUCUACUGUAAAGAGUUUCGCUUAAGUUACUUUUCGAAGAUGGGGUUAUGAAUUAUGUUACUGUGUCAUAAUCAAAUUAAUCUGAUCUCAUGUUCAUGGCGAGUGUUGUCAUAGUAUGGGGUACAUAAGAGAAUGAUUCUCAUUGGUUUAAGCCUAGAAGAUAAGUUUCUCUGUAAAUCAUAUCAUGGAUAAAACAUGCAAAGAAGAACUCGAUAUGUGCAAAAACUUUUUUCAGACUGAUUAGGUUCUUUAUGCAACUAAAUACAAAAUAACAAAUGAGACUUCAACCAGGUAACAUUUACAUUUUUAAUCCUUCAAUGUAUAAGAACUAACAAAUUCAGAAUCAUUUAAUCUAAACAUUGCGCUUCAUUGAUGUCAUGAGUGAAUGAAAGAAUCAACCUUAGGCCCAAGGCCUCCCUUUUUCUCUAUCUCUUACCCCAUUACAUUGGGAGGGAGGAGGGGUAGGGAUUUUACACUACCUAAAAGGAAGGUGAGGUGCAAUUCUUCAAGGAGAGUGAUACAAAGUUGCUUUUAAGGCCUUCACAAAUGGAACACACAUUUGCCAGAAAACAUGUUACAGUAAAUAGUUAGAACCUAGAAGAAAACAGUGAUCAUCUUGGCAAGGGUAGUCCUGACAAUGAACAGUGUCUUAUUGUGGCUGAGAUUUUGAUACAUGUGUCAAAGUCAUCUUCACAUUAAAGGGCUUCCAAUAAAGACUUUCCCUAAAAUCUUUCCCCUCAGGUAAUAAAAAUCUCAGUCAUGGUAA